rnacentral:lncRNA from 1 species
CAAAUACCCAGUGGGAAACCUCUAAAGGAUAUUUAAGCCCCAGAAAAUUCUGUAACUAGCUCUCUUGAGCCACUUGCACAAUCCCACUCCUAGUCUGUGGAGUGUACUUUUGUUUCAAUAAUUCUAUGCUUUUAUUACUUCAUUCCUUCAUUUUUUUUGUGCAUUUUGUUCAAUUCUUUGUUCAAAACACCAAGAACCUGGACAACUCGUAGUCAAGAACCUCCACUGGUAACAUUACUAUAUGCUUGGCCCUGUUCUAAGGACUGGAGUGUGUAUGGUUAUUCACAGAAGCAGAAACAGGCUCAGAGACGUGAAAAAAUUUUCUCGCAUUUUCAGAGCUGGAAAGAAGUGGAACCUGGAUUUAAACACAGGCAACUCUAGAGCCUCAAGUUCCACUAUGAUCCUUAUUAGAACAUUAAAACGUCCAACACAAAGAAAUGAUACAUGUUUGAGGCAUAACAAAUAAGCAUGUAACCUUGAAGCAAGGCCAUUGAAGGAAGCCAACCUGUGAAAACGUAGUUCAGAAAAGAUGGUCACAAACAAUAUGGUCACAUUGUUUGAACUCCAGAUUCAGUCUCAUCUGAAAUUACAAUUACUCUGGACUAUUCCCUCAGAUUUCAGCUGCUAUUUGGAGUAGCUGGAGAAAACAUAACCAGUUUCCAACUGCAAGAUGAAGACAGUGUGUUCUUUGUCUUCUCCAGUAGCUUCUUUAUACCACUACAAUUUCUCCCUUGUUGGGGAGAAUUCUUUACCUGCAAAUACAACUGAUGGUUUCCAGGUGUCAGCAGAAGACCUUCAAAAACACACUGAUGGACAGUUUGGUUCUAUCAUGAAGGAAACAUCUGUCACCCACUUCCAGAAAAUGAGGGUUGCCCUUCCCUCAACUGUGGCAGGGAGCUGAGGACACAACAUCACAGACUAACUAUUCUCACAAAGAAUGUUG